rnacentral:rRNA from 1 species
GAUGAACGCUGGCGGCGUGCCUAAUACAUGCAAGUCGAGCGAACAGACGAGGAGCUUGCUCCUCUGACGUUAGCGGCGGACGGGUGAGUAACACGUGGAUAACCUACCUAUAAGACUGGGAUAACUUCGGGAAACCGGAGCUAAUACCGGAUAAUAUAUUGAACCGCAUGGUUCAAUAGUGAAAGACGGUUUUGCUGUCACUUAUAGAUGGAUCCGCGCCGCAUUAGCUAGUUGGUAAGGUAACGGCUUACCAAGGCAACGAUGCGUAGCCGACCUGAGAGGGUGAUCGGCCACACUGGAACUGAGACACGGUCCAGACUCCUACGGGAGGCAGCAGUAGGGAAUCUUCCGCAAUGGGCGAAAGCCUGACGGAGCAACGCCGCGUGAAUGAUGAAGGUCUUCGGAUCGUAAAACUCUGUUAUUAGGAAAGAACAAAUGUGUAAGUAACUAUGCACGUCUUGACGGUACCUAAUCAGAAAGCCACGGCUAACUACGUG